UCACUCACUUUUCCAUUUUUUUCCCUUUUUAUAUGUUAAUAUAUACUCCAUAUUUUAGUUUUUAUAAAAUUAUGUAGAGCGUGAACAAAUUACAGAGUGUAGAAUUUUGAAAUGAAACCAUCAUUUUUCGCACUUGAAUUUGAUUUGAUUUUCUAACCUACCCAUAAUCCCACUUCUAUUCAUGUGUUCCUCUUUACUCGAUCCCAUGCGCUUCCUCUUAGUCUUCUUUCUCAUCAUCAUAUAUACCUUUCUUUUUUUACUAUCUUUUUCGUUCCUCAGGUUUUUUUUGGUUCUUUUUCUUCUCUAUUAUUAAAUAUGAUUU
rnacentral:lncRNA from 1 species